rnacentral:rRNA from 1 species
GUUGAACGCUGGCGGCAUGCCUUACACAUGCAAGUCGAACGGCAGCACGGGAGCAAUCCUGGUGGCGAGUGGCGAACGGGUGAGUAAUAUAUCGGAACGUGCCCAGUCGUGGGGAUAACGUAGCGAAAGCUACGCUAAUACCGCAUACGAUCUAUGGAUGAAAGCGGGGGAUCGCAAGACCUCGCGCGAUUGGAGCGGCCGAUAUCAGAUUAGGUAGUUGGUGAGGUAAAGGCUCACCAAGCCGACGAUCUGUAGCUGGUCUGAGAGGACGACCAGCCACACUGGGACUGAGACACGGCCCAGACUCCUACGGGAGGCAGCAGUGGGGAAUUUUGGACAAUGGGCGCAAGCCUGAUCCAGCAAUGCCGCGUGCAGGAUGAAGGGCCUUACGGGUU